AAUAUACUCCCUCCGUCCCAUCUUAAGUGUCGCAACUUUGUCUAGAUACGCAUGUACCUAACACUAAAAUGCGUCUAGAUACAUGCGUAUCUAGACAAAGUUGCGACGUGUUAGGUACAUGCGUAUCUAGACAAAGUUGCGACACUUAAGACGGAGGGAGUACUUG
rfam:Brachypodium distachyon strain Bd21 chromosome 4, whole genome shotgun sequence.